AGGUCUUCGUAGAGCAUUGCGAUGGAUCCCAGAUGUCUGCUGGUUGCAUUAUUGACUUUCGGCAUUAUGACGUAUGGUACUUUGCUUGCCGAAGAUGAAGGUCAUAUAGAAGACUAAGACCAAUUUACUUAUGAUGGCUGUCUCACAUGGUACCUGGCUCGUCUUGUUGAAAGUAAGAAGCAAGGCGCCUACAUAUACCAAUUCAUCUGGAUGAAACUCUGUGCCAGCGGAGAUAGCGAGUGACUAUCCUGUAGACAAGCUUGAGUCCCUAACAAUAAAAUAAAUUUGUAAAAAUAAAAACAAUUAUCUGUCGAAGUAGGAAAAUAA